CUCCCCGCCGCCCCCGGUAUACAAAUAUAAGUCACCUCCUCCCCCCGUCUACCACUACAGCUCGCCACCACCGCCGGUUUACAAGUACAAGUCGCCACCACCACCUGUGUACCAUGCCCCGGCUCCUGUUUACAAGUACGAGUCGCCCCCCCCACCGGUUUACAAGUACAGCUCCCCUCCACCGCCGGUCUACAAAUAUAAGUCGCCACCACCUCCUGUGUACCACGCCCCGGCUCCUGUUUACAAGUACAAGUCACCUCCUCCCCCCGUCUACCACUACAGCUCGCCACCACCGCCGGUUUACAAGUACAAGUCACCACCACCACCUGUGUACCACGCCCCGGCACCAGUUUACAAGUACAACUCGCCACCACCCCCAGUUUACAAGUACAGCUCGCCACCACCACCUGUUUACAAAUACAAGUCGCCACCACCACCUGUGUACCACACCCCGGCUCCUGUUUACAAGUACGAGUCGCCUCCUCCGCCGGUGUACAAGUACAGCUCCCCGCCGCCACCGGUCUACAAAUAUAAGUCGCCACCACCACCUGUGUACCACGUCCCAGCGCCGGUUUACAAGUACGAAUCUCCUCCGCCACCGGUGUACAAGUACAGCUCUCCGCCACCACCAGUCUACAAGUAUAAGUCGCCACCACCACCUGUGUACCACGCCCCUGCUCCAGUCUACAAGUACAAAUCUCCUCCGCCACCGGUGUACAAGUACAGCUCGCCACCACCACCGGUUUACAAAUACAAGUCGCCUCCUCCACCUGUUUACCACGCCCCGGCUCCAGUCUACAAGUACAAAUCCCCGCCACCACCGGUGUAUCACUACAGCUCCCCGCCACCACCUGUUUACAAGUAUAAGUCUCCACCGCCGCCUGUUUACCACGCUCCCGCCCCAGUCUACAAGUAUAAGUCACCGCCGCCACCUGUUUACCACUACAGCUCCCCACCACCCCCGGUUUACAAGUACAAAUCUCCUCCUCCCCCUGUCUACCACGCUCCAGCACCGGUUUACAAGUAUAAGUCUCCGCCGCCACCGGUCUAUCACUACAGCUCCCCGCCACCACCGGUGUACAAGUACAAGUCGCCACCACCGCCUGUGUACCACGCUCCAGCACCGGUUUACAAGUAUAAGUCGCCUCCUCCACCUGUUUACCACUACAGCUCGCCACCACCGCCGGUCUACAAGUACAAAUCCCCGCCACCUCCUGUGUACCACGCCCCGGCUCCAGUUUACAAGUAUAAGUCACCACCGCCUCCGGUCUACAAGUACCAAUCCCCGCCUCCACCGGUGUACCAUUCCCCAGCGCCGGUUUACAAGUACCAGUCUCCUCCUCCUCCUGUUUAUUAGCUCGUCGCAAGCUAGAGGCACACGCAUAAGGUGAGCAAAAUCUCGUCGCUUACCAGGAUCUCUGACGAACGUUUCUUUCUCGCUUUCUUUUCAUUUUCUUUGAUCCGAUCCAGGUAGAAGAUGACAACAAGUGCUGCAGGAUUUUCCUUGAAAUAAGGACACGCGUGGCUGCAGUGGAAACGGAGCUGCUGCACAGAAAAAGAGAGAUGUGAGAACGCGAGUGUAUAUAGAAAACUGGACAAAAAGAAAACAAAGAAGCAUCAUCACAGGAGGCCAUCCACGAAGUGUUCAGGGAUUCUUUCGAGGGUUGGACGUUACCUUGGUUCAUCCCGGUUUUUCAUAAAAUAAGCUCGACGAGGGCGCAAUGUUUUUUUCUUCUUCUUCUUCUUCGUUGUUUACCUCUGAUCGUUUGCUUGUUCUUCUAAUGGACGCCUUUCCAGUUUGAACGAUAUAUUCCUUCUGUAGCUUAGCUUUGUGAUCGUCAAAGAAAAAAUGCUCCUUGCCUGGAAAGAUCGGUGAUCACAGCCAAGCUUUUGUGUACGUCAAAGAAAAAUCCUUCUGGA
rnacentral:lncRNA from 1 species